UUAAGCGACUAAGCGUACACGGUGGAUGCCCUGGCAGUCAGAGGCGAUGAAGGACGUGCUAAUCUGCGAAAAGCGUCGGUAAGGUGAUAUGAACCGUUAUAACCGGCGAUGUCCGAAUGGGGAAACCCAGUGUGAUUCGUCACACUAUCGUUAACUGAAUACAUAGGUUAACGAGGCGAACCGGGGGAACUGAAACAUCUAAGUACCCCGAGGAAAAGAAAUCAACCGAGAUUCCCCCAGUAGCGGCGAGCGAACGGGGAGCAGCCCAGAGUCUGAAUCAGCUUGUGUGUUAGUGGAACGGUCUGGAAAGUCCGACGGUACAGGGUGAUAGUCCCGUACACCAAAAUGCACAGGYUGUGAACUCGAAGAGUAGGGCGGGACACGUGGUAUCCUGUCUGAAUAUGGGGGGACCAUCCUCCAAGGCUAAAUACUCCUGACUGACCGAUAGUGAACCAGUACCGUGAGGGAAAGGCGAAAAGAACCCCGGCGAGGGGAGUGAAAAAGAACCUGAAACCGUGUACGUACAAGCAGUGGGAGCACCUUCGGGUGUGACUGCGUACCUUUUGUAUAAUGGGUCAGCGACUUAUAUUCUGUAGCAAGGUUAACCGUAUAGGGGAGCCGCAGGGAAACCGAGUCUUAACUGGGCGUUAAGUUGCAGGGUAUAGACCCGAAACCCGGUGAUCUAGCCAUGGGCAGGUUGAAGGUUGGGUAACACUAACUGGAGGACCGAACCGACUAAUGUUGAAAAAUUAGCGGAUGACUUGUGGCUGGGGGUGAAAGGCCAAUCAAACCGGGAGAUAGCUGGUUCUCCCCGAAAGCUAUUUAGGUAGCGCCUCGUGAAUUCAUCUUCGGGGGUAGAGCACUGUUUCGGCUAGGGGGUCAUCCCGACUUACCAACCCGAUGCAAACUACGAAUACCGAAGAAUGUUAUCACGGGAGACACACGGCGGGUGCUAACGUCCGUCGUGAAGAGGGAAACAACCCAGACCGCCAGCUAAGGUCCCAAAGUCAUGGUUAAGUGGGAAACGAUGUGGGAAGGCACAGACAGCCAGGAUGUUGGCUUAGAAGCAGCCAUCAUUUAAAGAAAGCGUAAUAGCUCACUGGUCGAGUCGGCCUGCGCGGAAGAUGUAACGGGGCUAAACCAUGCACCGAAGCUGCGGCAGCGACACUAUGUGUUGUUGGGUAGGGGAGCGUUCUGUAAGCCUGCGAAGGUGUGCUGUGAGGCAUGCUGGAGGUAUCAGAAGUGCGAAUGCUGACAUAAGUAACGAUAAAGCGGGUGAAAAGCCCGCUCGCCGGAAGACCAAGGGUUCCUGUCCAACGUUAAUCGGGGCAGGGUGAGUCGACCCCUAAGGCGAGGCCGAAAGGCGUAGUCGAUGGGAAACAGGUUAAUAUUCCUGUACUUGGUGUUACUGCGAAGGGGGGACGGAGAAGGCUAUGUUAGCCGGGCGACGGUUGUCCCGGUUUAAGCAUGUAGGCUGGUURUCCAGGCAAAUCCGGAUAAUCAAGGCUGAGGUGUGAUGACGAGGCACUACGGUGCUGAAGUAACAAAUGCCCUGCUUCCAGGAAAAGCCUCUAAGCAUCAGGUAACAUCAAAUCGUACCCCAAACCGACACAGGUGGUCAGGUAGAGAAUACCAAGGCGCUUGAGAGAACUCGGGUGAAGGAACUAGGCAAAAUGGUGCCGUAACUUCGGGAGAAGGCACGCUGGUGUGUAGGUGAAGUCCCUGCGGAUGGAGCUGAGACCAGUCGAAGAUACCAGCUGGCUGCAACUGUUUAUUAAAAACACAGCACUGUGCAAACACGAAAGUGGACGUAUACGGUGUGACGCCUGCCCGGUGCCGGAAGGUUAAUUGAUGGGGUUAUCCGUAAGGAGAAGCUCUUGAUCGAAGCCCCGGUAAACGGCGGCCGUAACUAUAACGGUCCUAAGGUAGCGAAAUUCCUUGUCGGGUAAGUUCCGACCUGCACGAAUGGCGUAAUGAUGGCCAGGCUGUCUCCACCCGAGACUCAGUGAAAUUGAACUCGCUGUGAAGAUGCAGUGUACCCGCGGCAAGACGGAAAGACCCCGUGAACCUUUACUAUAGCUUGACACUGAACAUUGAGCCUUGAUGUGUAGGAUAGGUGGGAGGCUUUGAAGCGUGGACGCCAGUCUGCGUGGAGCCAACCUUGAAAUACCACCCUUUAAUGUUUGAUGUUCUAACGUUGGCCCCUKACCGGGGUUGCGGACAGUGUCUGGUGGGUAGUUUGACUGGGGCGGUCUCCUCCCAAAGCGUAACGGAGGAGCACGAAGGUUAGCUAAUCCUGGUCGGACAUCAGGAGGUUAGUGCAAUGGCAUAAGCUAGCUUGACUGCGAG
rnacentral:rRNA from 1 species